CAGCCGCCGCGGGAAUACGUAGGUGGCAAGCGUUGUCCGGAAUUAUUGGGCGUAAAGGGCUCGCAGGCGGUUUCUUAAGUCUGAUGUGAAAGCCCCCGGCUCAACCGGGGAGGGUCAUUGGAAACUGGGAAACUUGAGUGCAGAAGAGGAGAGUAGAACUCCACGUGUAGCGGUGAAAUGCGUAGAGAUGUGGAGGAACACCAGUGGCGAAGGCGACUCUCUGGUCUGUAACUGACGCUGAGGAGCGAAAGCCAGGGGAGCGAACGGGAUUAGAUACCCGGGUAGUCCCUGUCUCUUAUAC
rnacentral:rRNA from 1 species